rnacentral:misc_RNA from 1 species
CAUUCUGGCUGUGGAUUUAUGUAUCUGUCAGGAAAAGUCAGAAUUGUUACAAUGAAGUUUACUGAUAAAAAGAUACAUUAGAUAAAUGAGAAACAAGAAACAAAUCUGCUGGUCAGUGGAACUAUUACACUCUUGAAUAACAUUUUGCAGGACCAUAUUUCACCUAUCCAAUCAGCAACUUACAUAUAUCUAAUGUAUGCAUGCCUGUACGCGACACCAAAUAUAUCAUUGACAUACCAUUUGAGUUGAUCUCUGGUUCUUCAAUUCACAUAUUUCUUCAAAAUCUAUUUAUCUGAUUUAGACCAAUGAAAGCAAGCCUACCCAUCCUAGUGAGUUAACAUUUGAUUCCAAGUCUACCAUCAUAUUAAAGGACUUAACCAGCUAAUGAGCAAAGCUAGUUAAUAAAUUCAAAAAACUUAUCAUAAAACAAUGAAUUGGAGUGUGAUAGUGUAAGAAUAAUAAAUAGUCUGAUCUCCCACAACACGUUUGACAAGCAUGGUAGGCAUGGGAUACAUCAAAAACAUAAUUUUCAGCAAUCUUCCAUUCACAUUCAAAGGCAAUUCACAAAUUCAAUGUCAAGAGCGAGGACAUACUUGGGG